GUGAUCUUAGUGAAAAGCAUCGCUUAUCGGACUACGAAUCCGUAGGUUAGAGGUUCGAAUCCUCUUGGGCGCGC
rnacentral:tRNA from 1 species